GAGAGGCCAGAUGCGGGUCUUAGAUCCAUUGGUGGGGAUCGUCGAGGAAGGGUCAGAGACUAUUGAAAAUGAAUAUCCACAAAGAUUUGGUAUCACAUGCAUUUAGGACGGAGUUGGAGUAUAGAGCAUUGCAUAAAUAAAGUAUUAUAUUUGUAGUAUUCAUGUUAGUGUGUUAAGAACUUUGUUGUGUUUGUUAUAUCAUCCUGUUUGCUAAAAUUUCACUGUUAUUACAUGUAAAUGUAUUC
rnacentral:lncRNA from 1 species